UGGGGAAUAUUGGACAAUGGGGGCAACCCUGAUCCAGCCAUGCCGCGUGUGUGAAGAAGGCCUUUUGGUUGUAAAGCACUUUAAGCAGGGAGGAGAGGCUAAUGGUUAAUACCCAUUAGAUUAGACGUUACCUGCAGAAUAAGCACCGGCUAACUCUGUGCCAGCAGCCGCGGUAAUACAGAGGGUGCGAGCGUUAAUCGGAAUUACUGGGCGUAAAGCGAGUGUAGGUGGCUCAUUAAGUCACAUGUGAAAUCCCCGGGCUUAACCUGGGAACUGCAUGUGAUACUGGUGGUGCUAGAGUAUGUGAGAGGGGAAGUAGAAUUCCAGGUGUAGCGGUGAAAUGCGUAGAGAUCUGGAGGAAUACCGAUGGCGAAGGCAGCUUCCUGGCAUAAUAUUGACACUGAGAUUCGAAAGCGUGGGUAGCAAACAGGAUUAGAUACCCUGGUAGUCCACGCCGUAAACGAUGUCUACUAGCCGUUGGGGUCCUUGAGACUUUAGUGGCGCAGUUAACGCGA
rnacentral:rRNA from 1 species